UGGCAAACUGGCCUUCUCAAUCAUUGCUUCU
rnacentral:piRNA from 1 species